rnacentral:rRNA from 1 species
AUUGAACGCUGGCGGCAGGCUUAACACAUGCAAGUCGAGCGAGCGGCGGACGGGUGAGUAAUGUCUGGGAAACUGCCUGAUGGAGGGGGAUAACUACUGGAAACGGUAGCUAAUACCGCAUACCAUCAGAUGUUCCCAGAGUGGAUUAGCUAGUAGGUGGGGUAAUGGCUCACCUAGGCGACGAUCCCUAGCUGGUCUGAGAGGAGGACCAGCCACACUGGAACUGAGCAACGGUCCAGACUCCUACGGGAGGCAGCAGUGGGGAAUAGUGCACAAUGGGCGAAAGCCUGAUGCAGCAAUGCCGCGUGUGUGAAGAAGGCCUUCGGGUUGUAAAGCACUGUCAGCGAGGAGACGGUACUCACAGAAGAAGCACCGGCUAACUCCGUGCCAGCCGCCGCGGUAAUUC